UGUAACGGGGCUAAACCAUGCACCGAAGCUGCGGCAGCGACACUGUGUGUUGUUGGGUAGGGGAGCGUUCUGUAAGCCUGUGAAGGUGUGUCGUGAGGCAUGCUGGAGGUAUCAGAAGUGCGAAUGCUGACAUAAGUAACGAUAAAGCGGGUGAAAAGCCCGCUCGCCGGAAGACCAAGGGUUCCUGUCCAACGUUAAUCGGGGCAGGGUGAGUCGACCCCUAAGGCGAGGCCGAAAGGCGUAGUCGAUGGGAAACGGGUUAAUAUUCCCGUACUUGGUGUUACUGCGAAGGGGGGACGGAGAAGGCUAUGUUGGCCGGGCGACGGUUGUCCCGGUUUAAGCGUGUAGGUGUGUGUUCCAGGUAAAUCCGGUUCACUUUAACACUGAGGCGUGACGACGAGGCACUACGGUGCUGAAGCAACAAAUGCCCUGCUUCCAGGAAAAGCCUCUAAGCAUCAGGUAACAUCAAAUCGUACCCCAAACCGACACAGGUGGUCAGGUAGAGAAUACCAAGGCGCUUGAGAGAACUCGGGUGAAGGAACUAGGCAAAAUGGUGCCGUAACUUCGGGAGAAGGCACGCUGACACGUAGGUGAAGUGAUUUACUCAUGGAGCUGAAGUCAGUCGAAGAUACCAGCUGGCUGCAACUGUUUAUUAAAAACACAGCACUGUGCAAACACGAAAGUGGACGUAUACGGUGUGACGCCUGCCCGGUGCCGGAAGGUUAAUUGAUGGGGUCAGCGCAAGCGAAGCUCCUGAUCGAAGCCCCGGUAAACGGCGGCCGUAACUAUAACGGUCCUAAGGUAGCGAAAUUCCUUGUCGGGUAAGUUCCGACCUGCACGAAUGGCGUAAUGAUGGCCAGGCUGUCUCCACCCGAGACUCAGUGAAAUUGAACUCGCUGUGAAGAUGCAGUGUACCCGCGGCAAGACGGAAAGACCCCGUGAACCUUUACUAUAGCUUGACACUGAACAUUGAGCCUUGAUGUGUAGGAUAGGUGGGAGGCUUUGAAGUGUGGACGCCAGUCUGCAUGGAGCCGACCUUGAAAUACCACCCUUUAAUGUUUGAUGUUCUAACGUGGACCCGUUACCCGGGUUGCGGACAGUGUCUGGUGGGUAGUUUGACUGGGGCGGUCUCCUCCUAAAGAGUAACGGAGGAGCACGAAGGUUGGCUAAUCCUGGUCGGACAUCAG
rnacentral:rRNA from 1 species